rnacentral:rRNA from 1 species
UACGAAGGGGGCUAGCGUUGCUCGGAAUCACUGGGCGUAAAGGGCGCGUAGGCGGGUUUUUAAGUCAGGGGUGAAAUCCUGGAGCUCAACUCCAGAACUGCCUUUGAUACUGAAGAUCUUGAGUCCGGGAGAGGUGAGUGGAACUGCGAGUGUAGAGGUGAAAUUCGUAGAUAUUCGCAAGAACACCAGUGGCGAAGGCGGCUCACUGGCCCGAUACUGACGCUGAGGCACGAAAGCGUGGGGAGCAAACAGG